rnacentral:rRNA from 1 species
CCUACGGGAGGCAGCAGUGGGGAAUAUUGGACAAUGGGCGCAAGCCUGAUCCAGCCAUGCCGCGUGAGUGAUGAAGGCCUUAGGGUUGUAAAGCUCUUUUACCCGGGAAGAUAAUGACGGUACCGGGAGAAUAAGCCCCGGCUAACUUCGUGCCAGCAGCCGCGGUAAUACGAAGGGGGCUAGCGUUGUUCGGAUUUACUGGGCGUAAAGCGCACGUAGGCGGAUCUUUAAGUCAGAGGUGAAAUCCCAGGGCUCAACCCUGGAACUGCCUUUGAUACUGGGGAUCUCGAGUCCGGGAGAGGUGAGUGGAACCUGCGAGUGUAGAGGUGAAAUUCGUAGAUAUUCGCAAGACNCAGUGNGAGCGC